rnacentral:misc_RNA from 1 species
ACGGUGUAUUGCGACAGGUCGAUCACCGCGGCGCCCGGAGGGAUGGAGAGAUUGGUCCCGACGGCGCCGACUCGAUCGCCGCGCACCAGGAUAACCGCGUUCUUGACCGGUGACCCGCCACCGCCGUCGAUGAGAGAGCCGGCCCGGAUCGCGGUGAGCGGCUCCGAUUGCUGGACGGCGAUGGCGAGUGGCAGGCU